rnacentral:lncRNA from 1 species
GGGAUUUCAUGGCCUCUUCGGGCUUUGAGUAUUUGAAGAAACUGCCUAUGGAAGACCAGACCUGUGCCCUGCCUCCCAAGAAACACACAGAGCUUAGACGGUGGAAGCUAUCUGGGGCAAAUUCAGCUCCCUGUGAGGAAGGUCUUCUAGUUGUUAGGGGUGUCUUGGUAGGUCAGGGAGGGUUUUCCAGCAUCAGUCAUUUUCAUACCAAUCUCUCGGUUUUUGCCAUAUUCCUGUACCACCCGUGCUUUUAUUUACCUAAUCUUUUUUAUUUACCGAAUUUUUAACCUAAUAUUUCCUUUAAAACAACUUUAAAUUGACACACUUUGUUUCAUUCCUGUUUUUAAAAAGUACCUAUGGCAAAAGAUAUGAAUAGACACUUCUCAAAAGAAGACAUGCAAGCCGCCAACAAACAUAUGGAAAAAUGUUCAUCAUCACUAAUUAUCAGAAAAAUGCAAACCAAAAUCACAGUGAGAUAUCAUCUCACACCAGUUAGAAUGGCCAUUAUUAAAAAGUCAAAACCAACAGAUGUUGGUGAGGCUGCAGAGAAAAGAGAACACUUAUAUAUUCUUGAGAAUUUAAAUUAGUUCAGCCACUGUGGAAAGAAGUUUGGAGAUUUCUCAAAGAACUUAAACAGAACUACCAUUUGACCCAGCAAUCCCGUGACUGGGUAUGUACCUAAAAGAAAACAAAUUGUUCAACCAAAAAGACAUAUGCACUCACAUGUUCAUCAUAGCACUAUUCACAAUAGCACGGUUCAUGGAAUCAACGUAGGUGCCCACCAACAAUAGAUUGGAUAAAGAAAAUGUGGUACAUAUAUACCAUGGAAUACUAUGCAGCCAUGAAAAAGAAGGAAAUCACGUCCUGUACAGCAACAUGGAUGCAGAGGGAGGCCAUUAUCCAAAGCAAAUUAACACAGGAACAGAAAACCACAUACCACAUGUUCUCACUUAUAAGUGGGAACUAAACAUCAGGUACUCGUGGACAUAAAGAUGGCAACAAUAGGCCAGGCACGGUGCUGAUGCCUGUAAUCCCAGCACUUGGGGAGGCUGAGGCGGGUGGAUCAUAUGAGGUCAGGAGUUUGACACCAGCCUAGCCAACAUGGUGAAAGCCCAUCUCUACUAAAAAUAUAAAAAUUAGCUGGGUGUGGUGGCACACACCUGAAAUCCCAGCUACUCAGGAGGCUGAGGUGGGAGAAUUUCUUGAACCUGGGAGGCAGAGAUUGCAGUAAGCCAAGAAGGUGCCACUGCAUUCCAGCCUGGGCAACAGAGUGAGACUCUGUCUCCAAAAAAAAAAAAAAAAAAAAAAAAAGAUAGCAACAAUAGACACUGGUAACAUACCCAGGUAACAACAUACCCAAUAUAUGCAUGAUAUACCCACACAACAUACCCAGGUAACAAACCUGCAUUUGUACUGCCUGGUGGGUGUGGUUUGUGAACCGGUAUGUGUGGUCUGUGGUAUGUAUGGAUGUGUGUAGUUUGUGAACUGGUGUGUGUGGCAUAUGGUGUGUAUGUGGGUAACUGGCAUAACUGGGGUAUGGUAGGUAUGGGUAUGUGUGGUAUGUGAACUGGUAAGUGAUAUGUAUGAGUGCGUAUGGUGUGUGUUGCGGGUGGUGUGUGAACUGGUGUGUGGUGUGUGGUAUGCAUCGGUGCAUGUGAUGUGUGAACUGGUGUGUGUGGUAUGGUAUGCAUGGGUGUGUGUAGUGUGUGAACUGAUAUGUGUGGUUUGUGAACUGGUAUGAACUGGUGUGGUGUGUGAUGUGUGGUAUGUAUGGGUGUGUAUGGUUUGUAAACUGGUGCAUGUGGUGUGAACUGGUGUGUGGUAUGCAUGGAGAUGUGUGGUUUGUGAACUGGUGUGAAUUGGUGUGUGGUGUGUGGUAUAUAUGGAUGUGUGGUAUGUGAACUUGUAUGUGUGGUGUGGUUUGGAUGUGGUGCAUGUGGUAUGUGCAGUAUGUGGUGAGAGUGUGGCGUGUGGUGUAUGUGGUGCAUGUGGUGUGUUUGGUAUGUGGUAUGCGUAUGGUGUGUGUGGUGUAUGGGGCAUAUGUGGUUUGUGUGUGGUGUGGUGUUUGUAGAGUGUGGUGCGCAUGGUGUGUGUGGUAUGUGGUGUGUGUGUGGCAUGUGGUGUAUGGGGUGUAUGUGGUUUGUGUGGGGUGUGUGGGAUACGUGGGGUAUAUGUGGUGGGGUGUGUGGUGUCUGUGAUGUGUGGUAUGUAUGGGGGUAUGUGGUGUGUGAAUUGGUGUGUGUGGUUUGUAAACUGGUGCAUGUGGUGUGAAUUGGUAUGUGGUGUGCAUGGAAGUGUGUGGUUUUUGAACUGGUGUGAACUGCUGUGUGGUGUGUGGUAUAUAUGGAUGUGUGGUAUGUGAACUUGUAUGUGUGGUGUGGUUUGGAUGUGGUAUAUGUGGUGUGUGCAGUAUAUGGUGUGUUUGUGGCGUGUGGUGUGUGUGGUGUGAUAUGUGGUGUCUGUGGUGUGUGGUAUGUAUGGGGGUAUGUGGUGUGUGAAUUGGUGUGUGCACCAUGGUAUGUAUGGGUAUGUGUGGUCUGUGAACUGGUAGGGGUGCUGUGGUGGGGAGUGGUGUGUGUGGUGUGUGGCAUGUAUGGAUGUGUGUGGUGUGUGUCUUGGGAGUGAGGGUGCUUAUCAUGAGCAGGUGCUGCAGAAGCCCUCAGGGAAGAUGACUUCACUGGGAGCUGAGAUGACCUCACUGGGCGCCCUCCUUCAGCAGAUGCGAGGACAGGCCCACAGGCCUAAAGUCAAUUAGAGGCAGAUUUCCAAGCAGAAUCUACUUCUCCUGACCUCUGAUUCAGUGCCUUUUCCUGACAAUUUUAUCCCUGCGACCCCAGCCUUGAGAAUGCAAAAAACUACCCCCAACUUCAGCCUGAGGUCAUGAAACCAACCAGGAGUGCAGGCCGUCUAGGGGAGGUGCGAGUGCCCACCUACUGGGCAGCCACUCUGAGGGCAAAGUCCACGGGAGACACAGCUUCAGCCACCACCGGGGCUGCGACCUGUCCUCAGGAUCCUCCUCAGCCCCCUCCAGGAGUCCUC